rnacentral:rRNA from 1 species
AGCAGCCGCGGUAAUUCCAGCUCCAAUAGCGUAUAUUAAAGUUGUUGCAGUUAAAAAGCUCGUAGUUGAAUUUCGGGAUCAAUUUGCUGGUCGUGCCUCUGGUACGUACUGGUAUUAUUGGUUUCUCCCUUCUGACGAACCAUGAUGUCAUUAAUUUGAUGUCGUGGAGAAUCAGGACUGUUACUUUGAAAAAUUAGAGUGUUUAAAGCAGGCAUUAGCUUGAAUACAUUAGCAUGGAAUAAUGAAAUAGGACGUUUGAUCCUAUUUUGUUGGUUUCUAGGAUUGACGUAAUGAUUAAUAGGGAUAGUUGGGGGCAUUAGUAUUCAAUUGUCAGAGGUGAAAUUCUUGGAUUUAUUGAAGACUAACUACUGCGAAAGCAUUUGCCAAGGAUGUUUUCAUUAAUCAAGAACGAAAGUUAGGGGAUCGAAGACGAUCAGAUACCGUCGUAGUCUUAACCAUAAACUAUGCCGACUAGGGAUC